rnacentral:rRNA from 1 species
AGAGUUUGAUCCUGGCUCAGAGUGAACGCUGGCGGUAUGCUUAACACAUGCAAGUCGAACGAGAACGGCUCUUUCUUGGGAAAGAGUGUCAGCUAAGUGGCGAACGGGUGAGUAACACGUAGCUACCUGCCUUACAGACUGGGAUAACAGUUGGAAACGACUGCUAAUACCGGAUAUACCCUAAGGGGGAAAGAUGUAUCGCUGUAAGAUGGGGCUGCGGCGUAUCAGGUAGUUGGUGAGGUAAAGGCUCACCAAGCCGAUGACGCGUAACUGGUCUGAGAGGAUGGUCAGUCACACUGGAACUGAGACACGGUCCAGACUCCUACGGGAGGCAGCAGUGGGGAAUAUUGCACAAUGGGGGAAACCCUGAUGCAGCAAUACCGCGUGGAGGAAGAAGGAUUUCGGUCUGUAAACUCCUUUUAUAUCUGAAGAUAAUGACGGUAGGAUAUGAAUAAGCACCGGCUAACUCCGUGCCAGCAGCCGCGGUAAUACGGAGGGUGCAAGCGUUACUCGGAAUCACUGGGCGUAAAGAGCGCGUAGGCGGGUUAUUAAGUUGGAAGUGAAAGCCCACAGCUCAACUGUGGAACUGCUUCCAAAACUGGUAAUCUAGAAUGUGGGAGAGGUAAGUGGAAUUCCUGGUGUAGGGGUGAAAUCCGUAGAGAUCAGGAGGAAUACCGAAAGCGAAGGCGACUUACUGGAACAAUAUUGACGCUGAUGCGCGAAAGCGUGGGGAGCAAACAGGAUUAGAUACCCUGGU